rnacentral:rRNA from 1 species
GCUCAGGAUGAACGCUGGCGGCGUGCCUAACACAUGCAAGUCGAGCGAAGCGAUUUGGCGGAAGUUUUCGGAUGGAAGUUAAAUUGACUGAGCGGCGGACGGGUGAGUAACGCGUGGGUAACCUGCCUCAUACAGGGGGAUAACAGUUAGAAAUGACUGCUAAUACCGCAUAAGCGCACAGCAUCGCAUGAUGCAGUGCGAAAAACUCCGGUGGUAUGAGAUGGACCCGCGUCUGAUUAGCUAGUUGGUGAGGUAACGGCUCACCAAGGCGACGAUCAGUAGCCGACCUGAGAGGGUGAUCGGCCACAUUGGGACUGAGACACGGCCCAAACUCCUACGGGAGGCAGCAGUA